rnacentral:rRNA from 1 species
AGAGUUUGAUCAUGGCUCAGGAUGAACGUUGGCGGCGUGCCUAACACAUGCAAGUCGAACGGGAAACCACUUCGGUGGUGGAGAGUGGCGCACGGGUGAGUAACACGUAGCUGAUCUGCCCCAGAGAACGGGAUAACACUGCGAAAGCAGUGCUAAUACCGUAUAAGCUCACGCGGACUAGGGAAGUGUGAGAAAAGCUCCGACGCUCUGGGAUGAGGCUGCGGCCCAUCAGCUAGUUGGUAAGGUAACGGCUUACCAAGGCGACGACGGGUAGGGGACCUGAGAGGGUGAACCCCCACACUGGGACUGAGACACGGCCCAGACUCCUACGGGAGGCAGCAGUGAGGAAUAUUGCUCAAUGGGCGCAAGCCUGAAGCAGCGACGCCGCGUGGGCGAUGAAGGUCUUCGGAUCGUAAAGCCCUUUUCUGCGUGACGAGGAAGGACGGUAGCGCAGGAAUAAGUGUCGGCUAACUACGUGCCAGCAGCCGCGGUAAAACGUAGGACGCAAACGUUAUCCGGAAUUACUGGGCGUAAAGAGCGUGUAGGCGGGUAAGUAAGUUGUCCGUGAAAGCUCCCGGCUAAACUGGGAGAGGUCGGAUAAGACUGCCUGCCUAGAGGGUGUUAGAGGGAUGCGGAAUUCCGGGUGUAGUGGUGAAAUGCGUAGAGAUCCGGAGGAACACCAGAGGCGAAGGCGGCAUCCUGGGACAUACCUGACGCUGAGACGCGAAAGCAUGGGGAGCGAACGGGAUUAGAGACCCCGGUAGUCCAUGCCGUAAACGAUGUUCACUAGAUGUUCGUUCGACUACGGUUGAGUGAGCGUCGAAGCUAACGCGCUAAGUGAACCGCCUGGGGAGUACGGUCGCAAGGCUAAAACUCAAAUGAAUUGACGG